ACGGGGUGCAGCAGGCGCGAAAACUUGGCAAUGCGAGAAAUCGUGACCAGGGAACUCCAAGUGCAUCGGGUAAGACCGAUGCUUUUCUUGACUCUUCAAAGGUCUUGGAAUAAGGGGUGGGUAAGGACGGUGCCAGCCGCCGCGGUAAUACCGGCGCCUCAAGUGGUAGUCGCUUUUAUUGGGCCUAAAACGUCCGUAGCCGGUUUGGUACAUUCGUGGGUAAAUCAAGGCGCUCAACGUCUUGAAUUCUGCGAGCACGGCCAGACUUGGGACCGGGUGAGGUGUGGGGUACUCUCAGGGUAGGGGUAAAAUCCUGUCAUCCUGAGAGGACCACCUGUUGCGAAGGCGCCACACUAGAACGGAUCCGACGGUCAGGGACGAAGCCUAGGGGCACGAACCGGAUUAGAUACCCGGGUAGUCCUAGGUGUAAACGCUGUGGACUUGAUGUUGGGAGUGCUCCGAGCACCCUCAGUGUCGAAGCGAAGGUGAUAAGUCCACUGCCUGGGGAGUACGGGCGCAAGGGUGAAACUUAAAGGAAUUGGCGGGGGAGCAC
rnacentral:rRNA from 1 species